UACAGAGGUCUCAAGCGUUGUUCGGAUUCAUUGGGCGUAAAGGGUGCGUAGGUGGCGCUGUAAGUCGGGUGUGAAAUUUCGGAGCUUAACUCCGAAACUGCAUUCGAUACUGCGGUGCUUGAGGACUGGAGAGGAGACUGGAAUUCAUGGUGUAGCAGUGAAAUGCGUAGAGAUCAUGAGGAAGACCAGUGGCGAAGGCGGGGUCUCUGGACAGUCCUGACACUGAGGCACGAAGGCCAGGGGAGCAAACGGG
rnacentral:rRNA from 1 species